rnacentral:rRNA from 1 species
GACGAACGCUGGCGGCGUGCUUAACACAUGCAAGUCGAACGCUGAACCCGCUUCGGUGGGGGAUGAGUGGCGAACGGGUGAGUAACACGUGGGCAACCUGCCCCCGGCUCUGGGAUAACUCCAAGAAAUUGGGGCUAAUACCAGAUGUGACCGCUGGCCGCAUGGUCUGGUGGUGGAAAGGGUUUCCGGCUGGGGAUGGGCCCGCGGCCUAUCAGCUUGUUGGUGGGGUAGUGGCCUACCAAGGCGACGACGGGUAGCCGGCCUGAGAGGGUGACCGGCCACACUGGGACUGAGACACGGCCCAGACUCCUACGGGAGGCAGCAGUGGGGAAUAUUGCGCAAUGGGCGGAAGCCUGACGCAGCGACGCCGCGUGGGGGAUGACGGCCUUCGGGUUGUAAACCUCUUUCAGCAGGGACGAAGCGCAAGUGACGGUACCUGCAGAAGAAGCACCGGCCAACUACGUG